UCCGCCCAGUCCAGCCUCCCUCCUGCAAGAACCUGAAGUCUGACAGCCAGCUCCCACCCGCAACCAGCCAGUCCCUCCGCCUCGCUCUGCGCUUUCUCGGGCAGCCGGGAUGGACUGCAGGGGCCUCGGCUGCUGUGUGCGGUGAGGGGGUAGGGAGAGGCGACAGGCCGCUCGGAAGACGGCUGAGAGCGUGCGGGGCGACCGCGCCCUGCUGCCUCGGCCUGGGCUCACCCGCGCGCCCCGAUGACCUCGGCUCGCGGUUCCCACGGUACCUGCGGUGGAAGCGGCAGCGGCAAUAGCCGCGCUCCCCUAGCUUCACACAGACAAUAUGGCGGCGGCGGAGGAGGAGACACACGGCUCGGCCGCCAGCCGCAGGGACCAGAGCGAGGCUGCAGCCUCCGCUGCCGGAAGCGGAAGCCCCCUCCCAACCAGAGGCGGGGCGGAGCCGGAAAAGGCGGAGGCGCCCCGCCCUCGGAGGCUCUGACUUAGCGCAGCCCCCGCCGACUGGCUUUAUAUCAUCUGGGAGCGUUCGGUGACUUGGAAGCUGAAUGGAAUGCUCUUCGUAAGGUUUAAUAGGAUUCUAACAGAGAAGCGCAUUUAAGUCAGAACCUGUGAUAGGUGACUAGACAAAACUUCAGCGUCCCAUCAGGCAUACAAACGAUGGUUUGACACAGCCGAAGAUGGCGUGUUUCCUGCACUACGCCUAGCGAGAGAGCGACCAGCCGGCAAGUCCCGAAGCAUGCGCGACCUUUCGCGCGAAGCAUCCUGGGAGCUGAAGUCUCUCAUGCCCGGACCCCUAGUCUAGGCUUAGGUUUCCAGCAGCACUUUUUUUUUCAAUCCUCAAACUUGGGAGUUUAGAUUAACGAAAGUUGGGUACCGUAGAGGGCGUGACUCUAGAGUUUAGAAUCUAGAAAAAGAUAGUAAUAACCCUCGAGAGAACAAGGCCCCAUUCCUUCUAUGGAAUCCUACCCAGAACUGUCAAUUCAGAAUAUCAUAGGAUUUUCUAACCUUUCAAUCUGCCCUCAUCCUCACUCUUGCGCUCUUUUCCUGCUCCAAACAGAAACGGGGCACUUUCUGCUAUGCAUACUGGAUUAUGUUCUUUUGUUCAAAUUUCUCCUGUGGAUUCUCAAAAUUCUCUCUUGUGCAACCAGAGAGAAUUCUAUUUAGUACCCAUCCCACCCACCCCAAAACUUAGCCAGAUCUCUUUUUAGUCUCUUGCCUUCUCUAAAGUUCCUGAUGUUUCCACUCACUGAGACUGCAAAUAACCCUGUAUCUUGGCAGUAUCGCCUCCCCUUCUUUGAACUGUUACAAUUACUUUGUGGAUUGGAUAACUUGUAUGCAUUUGUCGGAUUUAUUCGGGGUGAGGGUGGGGUGUGGACCUGCUCUGCAACGGACCAUCACUUGGCAGAAUGAGGUCUCUAGCUGGGCUCCUCCAUCAGACUGCGAGCCCCCUAGUAAACAGGGGGCACUGCUGAACGCUAUUCAGUGUUGGCCUCACCUCUGGGAGGGCAGAGGUGUGAGGGCUGAAACAAGGGUGAGGAGGCUGGGUUAUUUCUGUACCAGCCAUUAUCCCCAGCUGCCUCAGAAUAACUGUCUAUUCGGGGAUAGGCUUUCCACCCUCUCCAGCCCCCCUUUUACAGUUUGUCAGCUGACUGGCACCUCUGCUCCCAAAGAGACUUUCCUACCCCCACCGUCAUGACAUGGGAAUGAUGGUGGCUUGCAUUAUGUACGGAUGGCUUUAGAGAUGUAGUGGCUACCUUUCAUGGGUCACUCUCAGACAUAUCUGUGAUAUUUGGUCCCAAUUACCUUGAGUAUCCACAAUUAUCUGGGUGUCUGAGUCUGAAGCCACUCUCUUCUCUGGCCCUCAGUUUUCCCAUCUGUAUUAGUCAGGGUUCUUUAGAGUCACAGAAUUUAUGCGUACUCUCUAUAUAGUAAGGGAAUUUGUUGAUGACUUACAGUCUGUAGUCCAACUCUCCAACAACGUUCAGCAGCAACUGUGAAUUGAAGUCCAAGAAUCUAGCAGUUUCUCAGUCCCACAAGGCAAGCAGGCAAAGAAGAAAGAGCAAAUCUUCUUUCUUCCAAUGUCCUUAUGUAGGUCUCCAGCAGAAGGUGUGGCCCAGAUUAACGGUAGGUGCCACCAAGCCUGGAUCUGGGAUUUGCUUUGUUCCAGAUAACCUUGAACUCAGAGAUCUCCCUGUCUUAAUCUUCUGGGAUUCAUAGCCACUAUGCCACAAGAUCUCCAUGCCAAGAUCCAGUCAGAAACUUGUAUCUCCCAGGCUCCAGAUCAGGAUCACAGGUGAGCCUUCCAAUUCUGGAUUGUAGUUCAUUCCAGAUAUAGUCAAGUUGACAACCAGAAAUAGCCACUAAACCAUCUGUGAACUGAAGUGAUUACAAAAGGAGACCUGAAGGUUGCCCAGCAGGGUGUGGUGAUGGAUGGACAGCCAGUGGAGGCAGUGGGUUAGCAGUUUGAGGCCUGCCUGGUGUGCUUGAGACCAGUCACAAACCAGAGGUCUAUGUCUGGGGGUGUAGCUCAAUUGGUACAAUGUUUGCAUAACGUGCCCUAAACUCUCAGAUCAAUUCAAUAAAUUGAACCUG
rnacentral:lncRNA from 1 species